rnacentral:rRNA from 1 species
AUGUUGGAACAAGCAAGACAUACCCUACAGAAAUGUGAUGGACUUCCCCUUGCAAUAUCAACUAUCGGCGGAUUCCUAGCCACUAUGCCAAAAACUGAUAUUGAAUGGAAGAAGAUGAAUGAUAAUAUUAGCACUGAAUUGGUGACAAAUCCUGAACUUAGGGGAAUAAAGACAAUUCUUAUGAGGAGCUAUGAUGGUUUACCAUACCAUCUCAAGGCUGCUUUCUUAUACCUGUCCAUAUUUCCAGAUGACCACAAAAUUAGGUGGGGUCGCUUGGUGAGGCGUUGGAUUGCAGAGGGUUACUCAAGGGAUAUGCAUGGCAUGACUGCAAUUGAACUUUGUCAGAGGUACUUUGAUGAGCUCAUGGAUAGGAGUAUGAUCCUGCCAGGGGACGGGAUAGAUCAAUACAAUAGGAAAAAUAAUUCUUGUCAACUUCAUGAUAUGAUCCGUGAAAUAUGCAUCUCAAAGGCUAGGGAGGAAAAUCUUGUUUUCACACUGGAGGAAGGAUGUUGUUUGAGCGACACACAAGGUGCAAUACAUAAUCUUGUGAUAGGCAGCAACUGCAAAAGGGAUAAAGAUGUGUUGGAGAGCAUGCUGGACUUGUCACAUGUACGGUCAUUGACCGUGUUCGGACAGUGGAGAUCUUUUUUCAUUUCUGAUAGUAUGAGGUUCCUCCGAGUGCUUGACUUAGAAGACACAUUGGAGUUAAGAAAUUGUCAUCUUGAUAAAAUCGGGCAGCUCCGUCACCUCAAGUACCUUUCUGUACGAGGAUGUCGCAGGAUUUCAUGCCUGCCUAAUUCUUUGGGGAAUUUGAGUCACCUUGAAACACUGGACGUCAGAGGUACACGUUUAAAUGAGUUGCCAAAAACAUUCACCAAUCUUCAGCAGCUACAGCACCUUCGUGGAGAUGCCACUGUAAAAAAAAUCGGAGAC